rnacentral:rRNA from 1 species
GCCUAAAGAGAAGCUUGCGGCUGAUUAGCUUGUUGGUGAGGUAAUAGCUCACCAAGGCGACGAUCAGUAUCUGGUUUGAGAGGACGAUCAGACACACUGGAACUGAGACACGGUCCAGACUCCUACGGGAGGCAGCAGUAGGGAAUUUUCCGCAAUGGGCGAAAGCCUGACGGAGCAAUACCGCGUGAGGGAUGACGGCCUAUGGGUUGUAAACCUCUUUUUUCAGGGAGGAAUCAAUGACGUGUACCUGAAGAAUAAGCAUCGGCUAACUCCGUGCCAGCAGCCGCGGUAAGACGGAGGAUGCAAGUGUUAUCCGGAAUCACUGGGCGUAAAGCGUCUGUAGGUGGUCCAAUAAGUCAACUGUUAAAUCUUGAGGCUCAACCUCAAAACCGCAGUCGAAACUAUUAGACUAGAGUAUAGUAGGGGUAAAGGGAAUUUCCAGUGGAGCGGUGAAAUGCGUAGAUAUUG